rnacentral:rRNA from 1 species
UACAGAGGGGGCAAGCGUUGUUCGGAAUUACUGGGCGUAAAGGGCGCGUAGGUGGCCUUCUAAGUUGAACGUGAAAUCCCUGGGCUCAACCCAGGAACUGCGUCCAAGACUGGGAGGCUUGAAUCCGGGAGAGGGAUGCGGAAUUCCAGGUGUAGCGGUGAAAUGCGUAGAUAUCUGGAGGAACACCGGUGGCGAAGGCGGCAUCCUGGACCGGGAUUGACACUGAGGCGCGAAAGCUAGGGGAGCAAACAGG